rfam:Onchocerca flexuosa genome assembly, scaffold: OFLC_contig0001050
CUGAAGAUUCCCUCAGGAUAACUGGAGUACUUGAUAAAGCAGUUGCAUUCGGUAAAGCGCAUGAUUAGAGGAAUUGCGGGACGAAUCAUCUUCAACCUAUUCUCAAACUUUCAAUGAGUGUGACGUCUUGCUUAUUUGGAUGAUGAUUAACAUUGAAUAUGCUCCAAAUGGUCAUUUUUGGUAAGUGGAACUGGCGCUUGGGAUGAAUUAUGCAGUAAG